CGUAAACUGGCACCGUUCCGAAAUCACACACCCCCUCCUGACCUAAGAGAUUAGCUGGCUAAAGGUGUGCCAGUCGGUAAAACAGCAGCUGCCCCUGUGCCAAGCUGACUGGACCAGUAGAUGCAAGACGAAACUUAUGUCAACCCCCCCAUCCAACUCCUGAACAGUGCAAUGAAACCUGUGAGCUUGGUGAAAGUCAUCAAUACUCCCAGAGAGAAGAUGAGAGAGAGAGAUGACAGAAAGGCUGGAUGCAAUCAAUAUGGUCUUGGUAUUACAGCAGUAAUAUGGAUUUAGAGAAACUACUCAACUCCAUUGUUGCUGGCAUCGACAGAACAAAACAGCAGAGUGAGACGACUUGAUCAUUGCUCCAAGCUGGCAUCCUCCCUGUUUUCCUCCAAGAAAAGAAAGCUGACCCUUCAUGCCCAGAUACACUGGAUGUGAAACUCCAGACAGCAUGUUAUUUAUUUUUCCAUCUUUUUCUUGAGUCGAGUGAACUUCAAAAGAACACCCAGAUAGUGUAAAGCACGUUUGAUGUCACCAGGGACAAAUAUCGCAGCUGAGACUGGUGUAAAGUUUGGAGAAGGCGAGGUGAAAAGCUCAAUAUGAGAAGAGACUUAAAAAGGUUCACUAUAUAUGUCAUAUAAAGAGAAAUUGUGUCUUUGUGUUUUGAAAUGAGUUUGGAAUCAAUUUAUAAUAUCUCUGAAUUGAUAUUUGAGUCACUGUUUUGACUAUCGAGACAGUCACUGCAGUCAAAAGUGCGACUGAUGGAUAUGUACUGGGAAGACUGUGGGAAAGUAGGCUGUGAUAGUUUGUGUGUUUUUUAAGUGUUUUGGGAUCUAUGAACUAUAAAAUAUACUAAUAAAUAGGAUUCUUGGAUAUGUGGCUUUUAAUUUCUGAUCUAAUCCAGGAGUAUUUCUCUGGUUCAAAGGCAUAUUUGAUCUGCCUUUGGAUUUUCAUAAUUCAAUCCUCGAACUGAAUUAUCUGUGUUAAAAUCUGAACAAUCUUGUUGUAAUCUGCAGCAAUCUUUGUACCACAUGUGUAGACUGUUAAUUACUCCUAAUCAAGCCUCGAAUAAAGAUGA